GAGGGAGGAGGAGUUGGCUUUAAAUCCUGAUGUACAUUUGGUGCUUACAAAUCUUACGCAGUUCUCGUCACUGUAUAUUGAGAGCUGCAAGGAUUGAAGGAGAAAAGGUGCGCACAGUGCCAGCAUGUAGUCCAUGUACAUGUCCCUUCCCAAGGGCUCGCCCUCCUCUUGAGGGUCUAGACUCCCGGAGCCUUGCUUUCCUGUGUUUCCAAUUUGGCUGCUGCGCUGGAGCCCUUGUUUUCCCCAGUGAAAGGGGAGUGGUGAAAGGAGCUGGAAGUCUGCUGUCUGCCCACAGCCCGCAGCGGUCUCUUCAGGUCGUGUGUGGCCUUGGCAUCACUCUGAAGAGCCUUCAUGAGAAACCAUUGGAUUUGACGCAUGACCGACCAGCUAGAGACAGGCUGUCAUUAGCUCUGGAUUUGUUUGAAGAUCUGACCACUCUGUCUACUCAAAUGCCUUGCUGUGAGACUUGGUUGGGGUUUGUCCAUGGGGGCAGGUGUCUCCAUGCUCCUGUUUGGAGGAGCAGGGACUGGACACGCCAGCCCUGUGUUCCUGGCGGCAUCUUUGGCUAUGAAACAACACACCAGCUACUGCACAACCAGAACCCCAACCAUUCGGAGAGUUCACCACUUUUCGAAAUGCGACAUCAGACCCCAAGAGGCAGCACUCACUGGACUACCGUGGACGCCUGCUGUCCUCGCCAUGGAAGACUCGGGACCCUGACGGUGGUAACAGCUGAAGCCAGCAGUGGGUAGAGAGAGUCACAUCGGAAAUGUCUCAGCUCUGAAAGCCUGCUUCGUUCACAUUCUCCUAGAAACCACACAGUGGUUCUCACCAUGGUACUCCAGAGCCCUCUGUCCUUUGCACUAAAGGCACACGUUUGUUCUUUUGAACUAACCAGAAAGUCUGUGCCCCAGGCUGCCAAUGAGGUCACCAAGAGAUAAAAGCCAGAGAGUCUGCCUAAUCACCAAGCUUUUACAAUGAGAAUGGACUAAGUAAAGUUGUGGGCUAGGAAGUGACGGAGGCCCUGGUAUCAUCCCCAUUUGUUUUCCGGAGAACAGAGCUCUGGAGCAGUUAAACGGGGGAGCCGUCAUCCACACCUGGGUCUGUCUCACUCUGCACCCCAUGCCCUCAACUGUCUCAUGAUACUGAUCACAGCCUGAAGACCAACGAAUUAACUAUUUUCAUGAAGGUAAAAUAAAUCUCACAUUAAUUUGUAUUAUUGAUGGGUGGAUAAAGAAAAUGUAUAGAUACAAAAAAUAUUCAGCCACAAAAAAGAGAAGGAAACGCUGCCACUUGUGACAACAUGGAUGGACUUUGAGGGCAUUAUGCUAAGUGAAAUAAUUCAAAGACAAAUACUGAAUGAUCUCACUUAAUGUGGACCCUAAAAAGAAUAGAUUGGGUGAAGGGGGGAAAAUAUAUGAAGGUGGUCAAAAAUAUUAACUUUCAAUUAGAUUAAAAAAGAAAGCAGAGAUUGCACCUAGCAUUUUCAUGUCUAUUCAUCCAUUAAUAAACAGAAGCCCACUCAACUAAGAGAUAGUAAAACAAAGAGGUAAUUGCUUUUAUGCCUCAUGUUGAUCUAUUUCCACAAUAAACUAUGACAGUGAAUCACCAGCGA